rnacentral:lncRNA from 1 species
AUAAGAGAAUAAAAGCUGGCCACCCAGCCAGCAGAGGCAACCCACUUGGGUCCCCUUCCAUGCAGUGGAAGCUUAGUUCUUUCACUCUUCACCAUAAAUCUUGCUGCUGCUCACUCUUUGGGUCCACACUACCUUAUGAGCUGUAACACUCACUGCGAAGGUCUGCAGCUUCACUCCUGAAGUCAGCAAGAUCACGAACCCACCAGAAGGAAGAAACUCCAGAUGCACCACCUUUAAGAGCUGUAACACUCAUUGCAAAGGUCUGUGGCUUCACUCCUGAAGUCAACGAGACCACGAACCCACCGGAAGGAAGAAACUCUGGACACAUCUGAACAUCAGAAGGAACAAACUCCAGACACACCAUCUUUAAGAACUGUAACAUUCAUUGCGAGGGUCCGUGGCUUCACGCUUGAAGUCAGCGAGACCAAGAUCCUACUGGAAGGAACCAAUUCUGGACACAAUAAUACAACAACCCUCUGAGGAGCUCUCGGGGAUUUCUGCGGCUUCUCAUCUCUUCCACCUUCUCAACAAGUAGAAUGGUAAUAGCAAAAUUAUAUGCCAAAUUCUGUUAAAGAAACCCUCCAUCUUGUACAUUUAUUUUGAGGUGAGAGACUGAAAACUGUUCAUUUUGCAAAGAUGAAUAAAUAAGUGAAGAUCUAGGUUACUGGAAAGAACAGCAAAUGUGUUGUAUCUACCUG